rnacentral:rRNA from 1 species
GACGAAGGUGGCGAGCGUUGUUCGGAAUCACUGGGCAUAAAGCGCACGUAGGCGGUGUCGUAAGUCAGGUGUGAAAUCCCUCGGCCUAACCGAGGAACUGCGCCCGAUACUGCGAUGCUUGAGGACCAGAGGGGUGCAUGGAAUUUCCGGUGGAGCGGUGAAAUGCGUUGAUAUCGGAAGGAACUCCGGUGGCGAAAGCGAUGCACUGGCUGGUUUCUGACGCUGAGGUGCGAAAGCCAGGGGAGCAAACGGG